CCUACGGGAGGCAGCAGUAGGGAAUAUUGCUCAAUGGGGGAAACCCUGAAGCAGCAACGCCGCGUGGAGGAUGAAGGUUUUCGGAUUGUAAACUCCUUUUGUUAGAGAAGAUAAUGACGGUAUCUAACGAAUAAGCACCGGCUAACUCCGUGCCAGCAGCCGCGGUAAUACGGAGGGUGCAAGCGUUACUCGGAAUCACUGGGCGUAAAGAGCGCGUAGGCGGGAUAGCAAGUCAGAUGUGAAAUCCUAUGGCUUAACCAUAGAACUGCAUUUGAAACUGUUAUUCUAGAGUAUGGGGGAGGUAGGUGGAAUUCUUGGUGUAGGGGUAAAAUCCGUAGAGAUCAAGAAGAAUACUCAUUGCGAAGGCGACCUGCUAGAACAUAACUGACGCUGAUGCGCGAAGGCGUGGGGAGCGAACAGGAUUAGAUACCCUAGUAGUC
rnacentral:rRNA from 1 species